UACAGAGACUGCAAGCGUUAUUCGGAUUCACUGGGCGUAAAGGGCUCGUAGGCGGCCAACUAAGUCAGACGUGAAAUCCCUCGGCUUAACCGGGGAACUGCGUCUGAUACUGGAUGGCUUGAGUUUGGGAGAGGGAUGCGGAAUUCCAGGUGUAGCGGUGAAAUGCGUAGAUAUCUGGAGGAACACCGGGGGCGAAGGCGGCAUCCUGGACCAACACUGACGCUGAGUGAGCGAAAGCCAGGGGAGCAAACGGG
rnacentral:rRNA from 1 species